rnacentral:lncRNA from 1 species
CAAGAGGAAUCUCUGAGAUGACUGAAAGAAAAUAAACAUUUCCCGUUGAUUUGGGAGGGACUGGGUAGAUUUUGCAGCAAUACAAACUGCAAAGCACUGGAAGGCUUCAGUAUGGGAAAUCAAGCCUGAGCAGAAAGGACCUUCCCUCGAGGGACAUGACCUGUCCGUGGAAAGAACACAGAAGAGGUCAUCCUUGGAAGACUUAUGUACUAGUUUCAUGACUCUGUGAGUUUUAGUCCAGCAGCUUGCGGAGAUGCAAUCAGAAAGCUGAAUACGUGAAAUUCCAAUAUUUAGUCAGAAAUGAACAUCCAGUUUUCCUCCCCAAAACAUGGAAAAACUAAGGUAAGUAAACAUUUUCUACAAACUCUGUGAGUUGUCUCCCUUGUUCUUCUGUCACUGUUCCGGUUCGGAGGCCAUAGCUGCU